rnacentral:misc_RNA from 1 species
AAGUCGUAACAAGGUAACCGUAGGUGAACCUGCGGUUGGAUCAUUAAAAAUGCUAUGGUAGACUUGAGGGAACAGCGCCGCACCAUGGGCAGCACUUCCUCUGGCUCAUUUAUGAGUCAGAUGUGACCGGGGCUAAGCAUGGAACGUGACGCGCGUUCAACAAAAACCUCACGCCUAUCAUGAGUCGCUAACCCGACCAACCUCUAUGUGAACUGUUCCCGUCUCUGGCGAGUGGGUAGCCUCAAAAGCUACUUGUCAGCGCAGCUCCUUUUGAUUCAUCAACAGGUGCUGCGUCGUGGACAACUCGUCAACCCCUUUAUUACCAACUUUUUGUUAUAACAUAUCUGUCUGACAUUUUUUGUAACAUAAUUACAUAAAACAACUUUUGGCAACGGAUCUCUUGGCUCUC